rnacentral:lncRNA from 1 species
GGUAAUGUUAACUGGAACAAGAUGCAGGACUGAGUGCUUCUCUAAGGAAAGAAGGAGGAAACAGCAGUGUUGACCUGCCCUGGAGUCCACCCUCACCUCAGCCCUGCUCCGCAUCCCUCGUGCUCCUGGGUCACCGCCAACCGCACCGAAACCCCAGGGCUCACUCACUCUUGUGCUUCUGGGCAUGUGCAACCUGCAGCCAUCAGAGGGCCCCAUGCAUCUCAGGGUGCUAUGGACAUGGCCCAAUGUAUCUGCAGAGGACAUCAUGUCACAGUAUCAGAAGAUCAGGUACCCCACAUGUAUAGAGCGCUUUUCCACCCCCACCUCACUGAAACUCUUUAACAACCUUCCGCCUCAUCAGACUCUUGGGAAAGCCUGGCCUUGCAUGGGUCCUGAGCCUGCCUCUACCACCCAAUUAAGCUUUGAGGCCUACUAAGGCCUAAAUGCUACUACCAGGGGCAAGGAGUCCCUGACUCCACUGUAAAAUCGUCUUCCUGUGUGGUGCCAUGUAUCUUGGGCUACCUUACCAUCAUUCUUGUCAUCUACCACUGUAAUUACACAUUUACAGACUGCC